rnacentral:lncRNA from 1 species
GGGUGGUCAGGACACACCAUGAAAACAGCCGCCGCUGAGGAGCCUCAGGACACGCGCAGAGCUGUGCUGGCGGCCUGACUUUCAUCCGAUCCUCAGUCAGCCCUGCAAGAAGGGCUCACAACCCCGUCAAGCCGCCAGCGUCACAGAGAGAGGCACCUCCGCCGGCCCGCCCUCCUCCGUCCCUUGCUCUUCCUGCCCUGGGGCCAGGCUGGUCCCUCAUCAUCCACCGGCACCCCCUCAUGGUGUCUCCCCUCAGACGAGGACAGCGCGGCACAGAAAGGCUCACCACAGGUUUGGACUGAAGUACCACCACACACGUCAUAGUCUGCCCCGUCCUGGACCUGGGCUGAGCAGGAUGUGGACAGAUUCCCAAGGAAGCAGGACAGCUGGGCCGACAGCCAGCCAGGCCCGGUCCACCCCAAGCAGCCAAAUUCUUCCCGCCUGCCUCUGACCCACCCUGGGGCUCCGAGAAAGAAGCCGGGCUCCAAAGACAAUUUCUAAUAAAGCUAAACGAGAGGAAGCUCUGAAAUGAGAGCGGGGGCGGGGGGGCCCCCGGGCCUUUGAACCUGCGGGGGUGGCACUGGCCGGUGCCCCAGUGGCCUCCACACUCAGCCUCCCUUAUGAAAAUAGGCCGGGUGCGUGGGCCUCGGGCAGCCUGGAGACGGAUGCAGGUCCGUUGGCACCCUCAGC